rnacentral:rRNA from 1 species
UACGUAGGGGGCGAGCGUUGUCCGGAUUCAUUGGGCGUAAAGAGCUCGUAGGCGGCUUGUCGCGUCGAAUGUGAAAUCUCAGGGCUCAACUCUGACAUUGCAUUCGAUACGGGCAGGCUAGAGUUCGGUAGGGGAGACUGGAAUUCCUGGUGUAGCGGUGAAAUGCGCAGAUAUCAGGAGGAACACCGGUGGCGAAGGCGGGUCUCUGGGCCGAUACUGACGCUGAGGAGCGAAAGCGUGGGGAGCGAACAGG